rnacentral:lncRNA from 8 species
GGGAAAUGUUCCAAUUCCUGUUUUUAAUGUUCUGCAUAGUCAUGCUUUCAGAAACAAAACACAGGACACAUAAAACUCUGCCUCUCAGGAGUCUCUGUUUUAGCAUACAGUAGGUUCUUUCAGAAACAAUGCUUGUCGAAAGUGAUUUACAAAUGAAUUGUACAUUCAUUUGUAUGAUGUAUUUUAUUGGUUUAGUAGCAUGUUAUGGGUGUGAAUGGAUUGGAUAUCUGUUAAUUGUCUUCUGUGCAGGCACCAUGGUGGAGUCGUGUCCAUCCUCUCAUCUGUUCCUCCAAGCAAAACCAGAAGCCAAGAGAAGACUGUGAGGAGGAGGACCAGGGAACACCUGAAGGAUGGGCGCAACGGCAAUCGGUCCACAGACAGCGAAGACCGUGCUGUGAAAGAGAAUGGGAAGCUAGGGAGGCUCAAACGACGCAAGAGCCAUUCAAGUCAGAUUGAUGACAGCAAGGCCCCAGCCAAUAAGAGAGAAGAAAGCAGGGCCCUGGCCUGGCCAAUAAGAGAGAGGACAGCAAGGCCCUGGCCAAUAAGAGAGAAAAAAGCAAGGGGUCAGUGGCAUCACAGAAGUCAGGGGUCACAGACCUGCCCUCGUCUGCCCCUCAACACAAAAUGCACCAGAAAAAGACCAGAAAUUUUAAGAAGACCCCACAGAAUGACCAUCGGGAGUCCAAUAACAGAGCCAAAGUCCCUGUUGUAUGCCAUGAUGCAUGUGCUGAACACGUCUGACGAGGUGGAACAGUUGGUGCUGAAGAACACAGGCCUGAUGGAGGCCCUCCUACUGAACCUGGCCACGGCCCUGAAGAGGAGCCCCGUCAGAGGUACCGCUCCUCCUCCACCUCGAACCCCGUGGGGUCCACAUCCUCUUGGACCUGCUGGGGGCUAAACCCCAGGACAAAAGAGUGCUGUUGGUGACAUACACCAAGCCUUUGUUGUUUAGUUCCAGCUAAAAUCUCUAAUUCUUAAAUCUUUAGUGUCCUGGAUGGAAAAAUCCAAAUGCUGCUAGCUAGUUUUACUCAAACACCCGGCUCAACUGAGAGGAAUGCUAUGUUAGCUAGCUGCGACCGGCUAUCCAACACUGGAACUCUUCCAAGUCAAGGUAUUCUUUUGGUUUAGUAAUUUUCUGCCACCGGGGCCCACCGGUGUAACUGCUAAACUGCUUAUGCAUCUAGCUAGUUUAGCCUUCUCAAACACCCGGCUCAAACAGAGAGGGAUGCUAUUUUAGCUAGAAAUUACAUCAUAGAGGCACUGCUUUGUAGGACACAGGUUCCACUGAGACAUCUGACCCCAUAUUUUUUUAACACAUUACGGAAAUGUAACUUAUCCGAAAUCAUGAACAAGGAAAGGGUAGACCCCAUAGCGCACAAGAGGAAUAGUCAAAAGAGAUGUUAUGUAAAGGACAAAAUAAUAUGGAUUUGUCUGAUUAUUCCUACACAAGAUCACGUGUCUAGCUUCACGAGACUCGACUAUUCUUCACUGUUAAUAAAUUACUUCUCACAGCUCUGUCAAAUCAUCUCAAUGUGUGUUCUGUGUAAUUUGGAG